GAUGAAGAACGUAGCGAAAUGCGAUACUUGGUGUGAAUUGCAGAAUCCCGUGAACCAUCGAGUCUUUGAACGCAAAUUGCGCCUCAAGCCAUUAGGUUGAGGGCACGUCUGCCUGGGCGUCACAUAUCGUUGCCUGAUGCCAGUUUCCUCGUGAUGGGUGACUGUGCAGGGCGAAUGAUGGCUUCCCGUGAGCAUUGUUGCCUCAUGGUUGGUUGAAAAUUGAGUCCUUGGUAGGGAGCGCCGUGAUAGAUGGUGGUUGAGUGACGAACGAGACCCAAUCAUGUGAGACCCCUACCGAAUUUGGCCUUCAUGACCCACAUGCGUCUUUGGAACGCUCAUGACGAGACCUCAGGUCAGGCGGGGCUACCCGCUGAGUUUAAGCAUAUCAAUAAGCGGAGGA
rnacentral:misc_RNA from 1 species